GUCGCGGUUUCAUCUAGGAGGAAGCAGAUAAUAGGCGCGGGCGUGCGUGACUGCAUCGUGGGAGCCUGGGUGUAAGGGCGGUGGUGAUUCAAGAGCACAGACCUGCAGCGUUCAGUGGCCACGGGCCUAUCUCGCCGUUCUGGUAGGCAGGUUCAAGCCGGAGCAAGUAGUGCGGCGUUUGCUGUCCGAAACAGCUAGGAGAUUUAGUUGGCUGUUACAUCUUCAGGGUGCUGCUCAUGAUUAGGCUCCAAGCUGUGGUUCGAAUCAGCACAAGUUCCAGGCCGGUCACUGUUCAGUUCAGUUGCUCACCUGAUAGAUAUCAGGGUUGCAAUCCUCAGAGAUGUUGUUCUCUUGCUGCAAAGUGGUUAAAGAAGUACUGCCCCAGCUAAUCGGCAUUAAUACUGCACAUACAGUUCUGAUCUAAUCAAAGAAAACUGAACUUCAUGAUUAUAUUCGUUUAUUAGGACAAGCAACGUUGAUAACACGCUGUAUUCCUAGAAGAGUUUAGGUUUUCUCAAAAGUAAGAAGGGCCCAGGAUUUUUGUUCCCAUAUGUGGAUAUCGAAUUUCCUUAGGUAUCGUGAAGCAUCGUCUGAGAGAUUUCUCAUUCCCUGUGAUGGGUUCAGCUGGCAAUUCUGUAUAGUAUAUCAGAAGCAGAACAUUGGCCUGAUUAUGAAGAACUUGCAUAAUUUUGUUUAUGUGCAUUAGUUUACCUUUAGUGGAUCUGACCUGCCGCUGCCCAUUAUUCCCUCCCAAGGCAUAAUUAUGAAGAAUUUGCACAGAUUGUUAUUAGUGCAACCAACUCAAAAUUGAGAUUGGAGAUACUUCAUUCUUUCAAUGUCAGUUUGGCUGGACAUGUUGGAAAUUAUCUUUGGUGUCGGCUGCCUGAUGAAAACAGGAGUGGCCUAAACAUGGAUGUCUGUUCACGAAUCGAGAAUUACCUGAGACCUACAGGAG